rnacentral:rRNA from 1 species
GCGGAGGAAAAGAAACCAACAGGGAUUGCCCUAGUAACGGCGAGUGAAGCGGCAACAGCUCAAAUUUGAAAUCUGGCUUCGGCCCGAGUUGUAAUUUGCAGAGGAAGCUUUAGGCGCGGCACCUUCUGAGUCCCCUGGAACGGGGCGCCAUAGAGGGUGAGAGCCCCGUAUAGUUGGAUGCCUAGCCUGUGUAAAGCUCCUUCGACGAGUCGAGUAGUUUGGGAAUGCUGCUCAAAAUGGGAGGUAAAUUUCUUCUAAAGCUAAAUACCGGCCAGAGACCGAUAGCGCACAAGUAGAGUGAUCGAAAGAUGAAAAGCACUUUGAAAAGAGGGUUAAAUAGCACGUGAAAUUGUUGAAAGGGAAGCGCUUGUGACCAGACUUGCGCCGGGCAGAUCAUCCGGUGUUCUCACCGGUGCACUCUGCCCGGCUCAGGCCAGCAUCGGUUCUCGCGGGGGGAUAAAGGCCCUGGGAACGUAGCUCCUCCGGGAGUGUUAUAGCCCGGGGCGUAAUGCCUUCGCGGGGACCGAGGUUCGCGCAUCUGCAAGGAUGCUGGCGUAAUGGUCAUCAGCGACCCGUCUUGAAACACGGACCAAGGAGUCAAGGUUUUGCGCGAGUGUUUGGGUGUAAAACCCGCACGCGUAAUGAAAGUGAACGUAGGUGAGAGCUUCGGCGCAUCAUCGACCGAUCCUGAUGUUUUCGGAUGGAUUUGAGUAGGAGCGUUAAGCCUUGGACCCGAAAGAUGGUGAACUAUGCUUGGAUAGGGUGAAGCCAGAGGAAACUCUGGUGGAGGCUCGCAGCGGUUCUGACGUGCAAAUCGAUCGUCAAAUCUGAGCAUGGGGGCGAAAGA